rnacentral:rRNA from 1 species
UAACGCGAAGAACCUUACCAGCCCUUGACAUCCCGAUCGCGGAUUACAGAGAUGUUUUCCUUCAGUUCGGCUGGAUCGGAGACAGGUGCUGCAUGGCUGUCGUCAGCUCGUGUCGUGAGAUGUUGGGUUAAGUCCCGCAACGAGCGCAACCCUCGCCCUUAGUUGCCAGCAUUCAGUUGGGCACUCUAAGGGGACUGCCGGUGAUAAGCCGAGAGGAAGGUGGGGAUGACGUCAAGUCCUCAUGGCCCUUACGGGCUGGGCUACACACGUGCUACAAUGGUGGUGACAGUGGGCAGCGAGACAGCGAUGUCGAGCUAAUCUCCAAAAGCCAUCUCAGUUCGGAUUGCACUCUGCAACUCGAGUGCAUGAAGUUGGAAUCGCUAGUAAUCGCGGAUCGGCAUGCCGCGGUGAAUACGUUCCCGGGCCUUGUACACACCGA